rnacentral:tRNA from 1 species
AAGUUUGAAGUGAAAAUCACAUUUAGUUUCGACCUAAUCUUUGGUGUUAACUACACCCAAACUUA